CCUACGGGUGACAGCAGUGAGGAAUAUUGGUCAAUGGGCGUAAGCCUGAACCAGCCAAGUCGCGUGAGGGAUGAAGGUUCUAUGGAUCGUAAACCUCUUUUAUAAGGGAAUAAAGUGUGGGACGUGUCCUGUUUUGUAUGUACCUUAUGAAUAAGGAUCGGCUAACUCCGUGCCAGCAGCCGCGGUAAUACGGAGGAUCCGAGCGUUAUCCGGAUUUAUUGGGUUUAAAGGGUGCGUAGGCGGCCUUUUAAGUCAGCGGUGAAAGUCUGUGGCUCAACCAUAGAAGUGCCGUUGAAACUGGGAGGCUUGAGUAUGUUUGAGGAAGGCGGAAUGCGUGGUGUAGCGGUGAAAUGCUUAGAUAUCACGCAGAACCCCGAUUGCGAAGGCAGCCUGCCAGGCCAUGACUGACGCUGAUGCACGAAAGCGUGGGGAUCAAACAGGAGUAGAGACCCUAGUAGUC
rnacentral:rRNA from 1 species